rnacentral:RNase_P_RNA from 1 species
CAAGCAGGCCGGGCGGUCGCGCCCUGAGCAUCCUCAGGGUGAGGAAAGUCCGGACUCCGCAGAGCACGGUGCUGGCUAACGGCCAGGCGGGGCGACCCGACGGAUAGGGCCACAGAAACAUACCGCCUGAAUCAUUUCAGGUAAGGGUGAAAAGGUGGUGUAAGAGACCACCGGCGGGGCUGGUGACAGUCCCGGCCAGGCAACCCCCACCGGGAGCAAGGCCAAGCAGGAGGGAGCGCCUGCGGGCGCAGGGAGCUGCUCGUGCCCUUUGACCUCCGGGUAGGCCGCAUGAGGCGCACGGUAACGUGCGUCCCAGAUAGAUGACCGCCACCCCAUCCAGGGGGACAGAAUCCGGCUUACAGGCCUGCUUGGGUG